UCUAUCAGUUAGUUAUAUUCCAACUCUAAAAGGAGAUAUCAUACAUUAAAACAUCUACUCGUACUAUAAAUAGGAUUUGGGAAAAAGAUAAUAAUGAGGAAAUCCGAGGAAAUGAAGAGUUUGAGCGUAAAUGCAGAUGGAAAAUUCAAGCGGAAUUAUUCUCAACCUGAACUUUAUAAAAGUUUUUCUCCUAGAACUCCCAACAAGCUCAUCAUCAGCUCCUCCCCCGAAUCUUAUUCGUAUUCGACUACUCACAAUGUAAGUAUGCAUUUUGUAGUUAGUGGGGCUCGAACUUGAAGGUUGAGGCAUAUAAGAAGAAAACAACGCGGAAGCUCAAUAUAAAGAAACCACCAACGCCAAAAACUAACCCGGGAAAACCUGGUUCACAUAAUUAGACAUUAAUAACUACGAUUUCAUUUGUACAUACAUAAUCUAUGUUCCGAGAGUUCUUUGAAGGGUUUCGAAUUGAACCCCGGAUAUAUGAUACAAAUUUACCUGAUUAUGUAUCAUAAUUAGGACUAUGUUUAUGUAAGAAUAAUUAAUAUAGACAAAUAAAGUUGAGACAUUGUAUUGCAAGAAAUACGAAAGAUAUAUACAAGAAACUUUGUUGCCUUUGAA